rnacentral:rRNA from 1 species
UAUUGCGCAAUGGGGGCAACCCUGACGCAGCCAUGCCGCGUGAAUGAAGAAGGCCUUCGGGUUGUAAAGUUCUUUCGGUGAUGAGGAAGGAGGAUGUUUAAAUAGGGCAUUCAAUUGACGUUAAUCACAGAAGAAGCACCGGCUAACUCCGUGCCAGCAGCCGCGGUAAUACGGAGGGUGCGAGCGUUAAUCGGAAUAACUGGGCGUAAAGGGCACGCAGGCGGAUAAUUAAGUGAGAUGUGAAAUCCCCGAGCUUAACUUGGGAAUUGCAUUUCAUACUGGUUAUCUAGAGUCUUGUAGAGAGGGGUAGAAUUCCACGUGUAGCGGUGAAAUGCGUAGAGAUGUGGAGGAAUACCGGAGGCGAAGGCGGCCCCUGGACAAAGACUGACGCUCAUUGCGAAA